GUUAGGGUGGCAGAGCCCGGAAAUUGCGUAAAACUUAA
rnacentral:tRNA from 1 species